GACGAACGCUGGCGGCGUGCCUAAUACAUGCAAGUAGAACGCACAGUUUAUACCGUAGCUUGCUACACCAUAGACGGUGAGUUGCGAACGGGUGAGUAACGCGUAGGUAACCUGCCUGGUAGCGGGGGAUAACUAUUGGAAACGAUAGCUAAUACCGCAUAAUAUUAAUUAUUGCAUGAUAAUUAAUUGAAAGGUGCAAUUGCACCACUACCAGAUGGACCUGCGUUGUAUUAGCUAGUAGGUGAGGUAACGGCUCACCUAGGCGACGAUACAUAGCCGACCUGAGAGGGUGUUCGCCCACACUGGGACUGGGACACGGCCCAUACUCCUACGGGAGGCAGCAGUAGGGAAUCUUCGGCAAUGGACGAAAGUCUGACCGAACAACGCCGCGUGAGUGAAAAAGGUUUUCGGAUCGUAAAGCUCUGUUGUAAGAGAAGAACGGGUGUGAGAGUGGAAAGUUCACACUGUGACGGUAUCUUACCAGAAAGGGACGGCUAACUCCGU
rnacentral:rRNA from 1 species